rnacentral:rRNA from 1 species
UACGGAGGGGCUAGCGUUGUUCGGAUUUACUGGGCGUAAAGGGCGCGUAGGCGGGUGUUCGCGUCAGAGGUGAAAGCCCCGGGCUCAACCUGGGAACUGCCUUUGAAACGGGACAUCUUGAGUUCGGGAGAGGGUAGCGGAAUUCCCAGUGUAGAGGUGAAAUUCGUAGAUAUUGGGAAGAACACCGGUGGCGAAGGCGGCUACCUGGCCCGAUACUGACGCUGAGGCGCGAAAGCGUGGGUAGCGAACAGGAUUAGAUACCCCUGUAGUCCCUGAGCGGGCUGGCAAGG